GACGUAGGUGGCAAGCGUUGUCCGGAGUUAUUGGGCGUAAAGCGCGCGCAGGCGGUUCGGUAAGUCCAUGGUGAAAGCGCCCGGCUCAACUGGGCGAGUGCCGUGGGGACUGUCGAGCUGGAGCACUGUAGAGGCAGGUGGAAUUCCGGGUGUAGCGGUGGAAUGCGUAGAGAUCCGGAAGAACACCGGUGGCGAAGGCGGCCUGCUGGGCAGUGGCUGACGCUGAGGCGCGACAGCGUGGGGAGCGAACAGG
rnacentral:rRNA from 1 species